AGCGUCUGGAAAGGCGCGCGAUACAGGGUGACAGCCCCGUACACAAAAAUGCACAUGCUGUGAGCUCGAUGAGUAGGGCGGGACACGUGGUAUCCUGUCUGAAUAUGGGGGGACCAUCCUCCAAGGCUAAAUACUCCUGACUGACCGAUAGUGAACCAGUACCGUGAGGGAAAGGCGAAAAGAACCCCGGCGAGGGGAGUGAAAAAGAACCUGAAACCGUGUACGUACAAGCAGUGGGAGCACGCUUAGGCGUGUGACUGCGUACCUUUUGUAUAAUGGGUCAGCGACUUAUAUUCUGUAGCAAGGUUAACCGAAUAGGGGAGCCGAAGGGAAACCGAGUCUUAACUGGGCGUUAAGUUGCAGGGUAUAGACCCGAAACCCGGUGAUCUAGCCAUGGGCAGGUUGAAGGUUGGGUAACACUAACUGGAGGACCGAACCGACUAAUGUUGAAAAAUUAGCGGAUGACUUGUGGCUGGGGGUGAAAGGCCAAUCAAACCGGGAGAUAGCUGGUUCUC
rnacentral:rRNA from 1 species